AAAUGUAGGGGAUGGCUUCUAGAACUUUCAUAGCUAGCGAGGAGAAGUCCAUGCCUGGCUUCAAAGCUUCCAAGGACAGGCUGACUCUCUUGUUAGGGGCUAAUGCAGUUGGUGACUUUAAGUGGAAACCAAUGCUCAUUUACUAUUCUGAAAAUCCUGGGGCCCUUAAGAACUAUGCUAAAUUUACUCUGCACAGUGGCUCACGCCUGUCAUC